GAUCCUGGCUCAGAUUGAACGCUGGCGGCAUGCCUUACACAUGCAAGUCGAACGGCAGCACGGGGGCAACCCUGGUGGCGAGUGGCGAACGGGUGAGUAAUACAUCGGAACAUAUCCAGUAGCGGGGGAUAACCUAUCGAAAGAUUGGCUAAUACCGCAUACGAUCUACGGAUGAAAGCAGGGGACCGCAAGGCCUUGCACUAUUGGAGUGGCCGAUGUCAGAUUAGCUAGUUGGUGGGGUAAAAGCCUACCAAGGCGACGAUCUGUAGCUGGUCUGAGAGGACGAUCAGCCACACUGGAACUGAGACACGGUCCAGACUCCUACGGGAGGCAGCAGUGGGGAAUUUUGGACAAUGGGCGCAAGCCUGAUCCAGCCAUGCCGCGUGAGUGAAGAAGGCCUUCGGGUUGUAAAGCUCUUUCGGUGAAGACGAAACGGUUAGCGUUAAUAACGCUGACUAAUGACGGUACUCACAGAAGAAGCACCGGCUAACUACGUG
rnacentral:rRNA from 1 species